UCCUUCAAAUUUUCAUUUCAUUUCAUCUCUUCAAAAAUAUUCAAACAGUGGACAGUUCGAAAGAAAGGAAAGAUAGGUGUAUCAGCUGAUGAUCGGAAACAAGGAACUCUAAUUAGUAGUAAUCGGAGUUUUUCACUUACCAUCUGUUAAGGAAUACUAUUGAAUCGACCAAUUCGAAUCAGGCAAUUUGUAUUUUGAUUCCACCUCUGGCUCGGACGUAAUUUCAUGUUGGAAUAUGAGGAUGUAUGUGCGUGAAGAAGGAGAGAGAAAAAAGAGCUUCAACAAAAAAAAAAGAGAAAAGAAGAGACGCGCAUAUAGGGUUUUAGUUUGAAAUAAAGAGAUGCAAAAGAUAAAAAAGAUAGAUAAGGAUAGACAGAAAGAAGAGCAAACUAGCGUAGCAGUGGAGCGAUAGAUAGAAUGCAACGAUUGUAAUCCUUUGUACACACUUUGUUUUAGUUGAAAUUUAAGCUUUUCAUAAAAGGAUAAAAGCGAAUCGCUAAGAAAAUAGGAAGGCUUCCUUCUUUGAAUCAAAGAUUCCACUUCACCGUAGAAAAGUUGUGUUGGGAGUGGAGUCUUUCGAGGCUUGUCUGCAUAACAUGUCCUUACCCAGUAAAUUUCACUGCUGAUGGUCUGUGAUUAAAU